UCCAAACUAAUUGAUGCAACUACAUUUAUUAUAUUUUAUGAUUUCUCGUUUCUGAUACAACCACAUGAAAAAUCAUUACACCCCACACCAAUUUAAUGAUAGGCCUAAAGAUGUGAAUAGAAUUUCGGAUAAUGUUCAAGGAGGAAUCUGAAUUUGCCAAGCUUUGGAGCAUUGUUAGAAAGACAAUCUGUGUGGGUUACUUGGAUGAUUUGCUAGCAUGGUAGCAGCUAGUUCAAAUGCUUCCCU
rnacentral:sRNA from 1 species